UUGGAUCUAUGAUAUAAUGCUGACUAUGAGAAUCUUGCCUAUUUUUCUGACUAUAAUUUUGGCAAAGGUGACUAUGUGGACAUAGAAUUAGUGAGAACUUGUACAAUUAGUUCAAUAGCCCACAUGGAAUCAAGCUCUAAAGAGAAAGUAGAAACUGGAAUUCUAGAUGUUUUAAGCAUUUGGUACUGUGGAUUAUUUCUCAAAUCAUCACUAUGAAGGCCUAGGAUUUCCACAGCAGCAGUUACAGGACAGUUGGGCCAAGAGACUUCUCUUUGAGAGUGGUUCAAACAAUGGCACCAAAUAUAGGAUUUAUAGGUUUUAUCUACUGAUACCAGGAUAUAUGUGAAAUUUCAUGC
rnacentral:lncRNA from 1 species